CUUGUAUUUGAAAUAAAAGAAGGAAAAAACGCACAAAAAGUUUAAAAAAAUAUUAACCGUAAUUUGUCAUUACUUAUUAGAGGGGGACAGCAAUGGCCGAAGGCCACGUGUGUGGGAGCAUACUACACAGAAAAUGUUUGAAAUUUGAAACCCGGAAAUGGCAUUUCCUGCAUUCUGAGCAUCCAAAUUUGCUCUAAAAUUUAUGCUAACUAUACUUGUAUUUGAAAUAAAAGAAGGAAAAACGCACAAAAAUAAAAUAAUUAAUAACAAUAAUUUAUCAUUAAACAAUUUAAAUCGAUUUUGUUAAACAAGGACCAAGGAUAAAGCCUAAAACUUACUUUCCGUUUAUUUAUUUGUUUUUCUUCACUGGUUUGUUCAUGGAUUUAGGAAAAAGGG